GGAUCAGUAUGUUGGUCAUGCCUCUGGUAUGUACUGAUCUCACUGAUUCCUCCUUCCUUAUGAACCGUAAUGCCAUUAAUUUGGUGUUGCGGGGAAUUUGGACUGUUACUUUGAAAAAAUUAGAGUGUUUAAAGCAGGCUAACGCUUGAAUACAUUAGCAUGGAAUAAUGAAAUAGGACAUCCGAUUCUAUUUUGUUGGUUUCUAGGAUCGAUGUA
rnacentral:rRNA from 1 species